GUUGCCAGCAUUCAGUUGGGCACGUCUAGAGGGACUGCCGGUGUCAAACCGGAGGAAGGUGGGGAUGACGUCAAGUCCUCAUGGCCUUUAUGUCUAGGGCUACACACGUACUACAAUGGCCGGUACAAAGGGCAGCCACUCAGCGAUGAGGCGCUAAUCCCAUAAAGCCGGUCUCAGUCCGGAUCGCAGUCUGCAACUCGACUGCGUGAAGUUGGAAUCGCUAGUAAUCGUAGAUCAGCAUGCUACGGUGAAUACGUUCCCGGGCCUU
rnacentral:rRNA from 1 species